rnacentral:pre_miRNA from 1 species
GCGAUCUCAGGGCACAGACCAGGCAAGAUGUUGGCAUAGCUGAUUUACACUCUGUGGUCAGCUCUGUCGCAUAUUGCCCCCUCUGGGCCCAGACUAACAUC